rnacentral:rRNA from 1 species
CUACGGGUUGCUGCAGUGGGGGAUAUUGCACAAUGGAGGAAACUCUGAUGCAGCAACGCCGCGUGAGGGAAGAAGGUUUUCGGAUUGUAAACCUCUGUUUUUAGUGACGAAAAAUGACGGUAGCUAAAGAGGAAGCCACGGCUAACUACGUGCCAGCAGCCGCGGUAAUACGUAGGUGGCAAGCGUUGUCCGGAAUUACUGGGUGUAAAGGGUGCGCAGGCGGGACAGCAAGUUGGAUGUGAAAUACCGAGGCUUAACUUCGGGGCUGCAUCCAAAACUGUUGUUCUUGAGUGAAGCAGAGGUAGGCGGAAUUCCGAGUGUAGCGGUGAAAUGCGUAGAUAUUCGGAGGAACACCAGUGGCGAAGGCGGCCUACUGGGCUUUAACUGACGCUGAGGCACGAAAGUAUGGGUAGCAAACAGGAUUAGAUACCCCUGUAGUC